rnacentral:rRNA from 1 species
UACAGAGGGUGCGAGCGUUGUCCGGAAUCACUGGGCGUAAAGGGCGCGUAGGCGGCUUGGUAAGUAGGGGGUGAAAUCUUGCGGCUCAACUGCAAGGCUGCCUCCUAAACUGUCAGGCUUGAGCACAGUAGAGGCAGGUGGAAUUCCCGGUGUAGCGGUGGAAUGCGUAGAGAUCGGGAAGAACAUCGGUGGCGAAGGCGGCCUGCUGGGCUGUUGCUGACGCUGAGGCGCGACAGCGUGGGGAGCAAACAGG